UAGGGAAUUUUGCGCAAUGGGGGAAACCCUGACGCAGCAACGCCAUGUGUGGGAUGAAGCAUUUCGGUGUGUAAACCACUGUCGGCAGGGAAUAAAGCCCGCAUUUAUGCGGGGGUGAAUGUACCUGCAGAGGAAGCCCCGGCUAACUUCGUGCCAGCAGCCGCGGUAAUACGAGGGGGGCAAGUGUUGUUCGGAAUUACUGGGCGUAAAGGGAGCGUAGGCGGGCUCUUAAGUUGGAUGUUUAAAACCGGGGCCUAACCCCGGCGUGGCAUCCAAAACUGGGAGUCUUGAAUGGGACAGAGGCCAGUGGAAUUGGAGGUGUAGCGGUGGAAUGCGUAGAGAUCUCCAAGAACACCAGUUGCGAAGGCGGCUGGCUGGGUCCACAUUGACGCUGAGGCUCGAAAGCGUGGGGAGCAAACAGGAUUAGAUACCCCUGUAGUCC
rnacentral:rRNA from 1 species